rnacentral:rRNA from 1 species
AGAGUUUGAUCCUGGCUCAGGACGAACGCUGGCGGCACGCCUAACACAUGCAAGUCGAACGGAGAUGAUUUGAGUUUACUUAGAUCAUCUUAGUGGCGGACGGGUGAGUAACACGUGAGCAACCUGCCUUUGAGAGAGGGAUAGCUUCUGGAAACGGAUGGUAAUACCUCAUAACAUACAGAUACCGCAUGGUGACUGUAUCAAAGAUUUAUCACUCAAAGAUGGGCUCGCGUCUGAUUAGAUAGUUGGUGAGGUAACGGCCCACCAAGGCAACGAUCGGUAGCCGGACUGAGAGGUUGAACGGCCACAUUGGGACUGAGACACGGCCCAGACUCCUACGGGAGGCAGCAGUGGGGAAUAUUGCACAAUGGGGGAAACCCUGAUGCAGCGACGCCGCGUGGAGGAAGAAGGUCUUCGGAUUGUAAACUCCUGUUGUUGAGGAAGAUAAUGACGGUACUCAACAAGGAAGUGACGGCUAACUACGUGCCAGCAGCCGCGGUAAAACGUAGGUCACAAGCGUUGUCCGGAAUUACUGGGUGUAAAGGGAGCGCAGGCGGGCGAUCAAGUUGGAAGUGAAAUCCAUGGGCACAACCCAUAAACUGCUUUCAAAACUGAUUGUCUUGAGUAGUGCAGAGGUAGGCGGAAUUCCCGGUGUAGCGGUGGAAUGCGUAGAUAUCGGGAGGAACACCAGUGGCGAAGGCGGCCUACUGGGCACCAACUGACGCUGAGGCUCGAAAGUGUGGGUAGCAAACAGGAUUAGAUACCCUGGUAGUCCACACCGUAAACGAUGAUUACUAGGUGUUGGAGGAUUGACCCCUUCAGUGCCGCAGUUAACACAAUAAGUAAUCCACCUGGGGAGUACGACCGCAAGGUUGAAACUCAAAGGAAUUGACGGGGGCCCGCACAAGCAGUGGAGUAUGUGGUUUAAUUCGACGCAACGCGAAGAACCUUACCAAGUCUUGACAUCCUGCGACGGACAUAGAAAUAUGUUUUUCCUUCGGGACGCAGAGACAGGUGGUGCAUGGUUGUCGUCAGCUCGUGUCGUGAGAUGUUGGGUUAAGUCCCGCAACGAGCGCAACCCUUAUGGUCAGUUACUACGCAAGAGGACUCUGGCCAGACUGCCGUUGACAAAACGGAGGAAGGUGGGGAUGACGUCAAAUCAUCAUGCCCUUUAUGACUUGGGCUACACACGUACUACAAUGGCGUUAAACAAAGAGAAGCAAGACCGCGAGGUGGAGCAAAACUCAGAAACAACGUCCCAGUUCGGACUGCAGGCUGCAACUCGCCUGCACGAAGUCGGAAUUGCUAGUAAUCGCAGAUCAGCAUGCUGCGGUGAAUACGUUCCCGGGCCUUGUACACACCGCCCGUCACACCAUGAGAGCCGGGGGGACCCGAAGUCGGUAGUCUAACCGCAAGGAGGACGCCGCCGAAGGUAAAACUGGUGAUUGGGGUGAAGUCGUAACAAGGUA